GUGUUCACUUCAGCAGCACAUAUGCUAAGAUUAGAACGACACAGAGAAGAUUAGCAUGGCCCCUGCACGAGGAUGACAUGUAAAUUUGUGAAGCGUUCCAAAUUUUU